GCUGAGGAGCGAAAGCAUGGGGGAGCGAACAGGAUUAGAUACCCUGGUAGUCCAUGCCGUAAACGUUGGGCACUAGGUGUGGGGACCAUUCCACGGUUUCCGCGCCGCAGCUAACGCAUUAAGUGCCCCGCCUGGGGAGUACGGCCGCAAGGCUAAAACUCAAAGGAAUUGACGGGGGCCCGCACAAGCGGCGGAGCAUGCGGAUUAAUUCGAUGCAACGCGAAGAACCUUACCAAGGCUUGACAUGUUCUCGAUCGCCGUAGAGAUACGGUUUCCCCUUUGGGGCGGGUUCACAGGUGGUGCAUGGUUGUCGUCAGCUCGUGUCGUGAGAUGUUGGGUUAAGUCCCGCAACGAGCGCAACCCUCGUUCCAUGUUGCCAGCACGUAGUGGUGGGGACUCAUGGGAGACUGCCGGGGUCAACUCGGAGGAAGGUGAGGACGACGUCAAAUCAUCAUGCCCCUUAUGUCUUGGGCUUCACGCAUGCUACAAUGGCCGGUACAAUGGGUUGCGAUACUGUGAGGUGGAGCUAAUCCCAAAAAGCCGGUCUCAGUUCGGAUUGGGGUCUGCAACUCGACCCCAUGAAGUCGGAGUCGCUAGUAAUCGCAGAUCAGCAACGCUGCGGUGAAUACGUUCCCGGGCCUUGUACACACCGCC
rnacentral:rRNA from 1 species